rnacentral:rRNA from 1 species
CGGGGGGGCAAGCGUUGUUCGGAAUUACUGGGCGUAAAGGGCGCGUAGGCGGUUUGCUAAGUUGGACGUGAAAACUCUGGGCUUAACCCAGAGCCUGCAUCCAAAACUGGCAAGCUGGAGUAUUGGAGGGGGAAGCGGAAUUCCUGGUGUAGCAGUGAAAUGCGUAGAUAUCAGGAGGAACACCGGUGGCGAAGGCGGCUUCCUGGACAAUAACUGACGCUGAGGCGCGAAAGCUAGGGGAGCAAACAGGAUUAGAUACCCUGGUAGUCCUAGCCCUAAACGAUGGAUACUUGCUGUGAGGGGGAUUGAAUCCCUUCGUGGCGAAGCUAACGCAUUAAGUAUCCCGCCUGGGGAGUACGGUCGCAAGGCUG